rnacentral:rRNA from 1 species
ACGGGGUGCAGCAGGCGCGAAAACUUUACACUGCGGGAAACCGCGAUAAGGGGACCCCGAGUGCCAGCACCUAGUGCUGGCUGUCCCGCUGUCUAAACAACAGUGGUUAGCAAGGGCCGGGCAAGACCGGUGCCAGCCGCCGCGGUAACACCGGCGGCCCGAGUGGUAGCCGUUAUUAUUGGGUUUAAAGGGUCCGUAGCCGGCCUGUUAAGUCUCUUGGGAAAUCUGGCGACUUAAUCGUCAGGCGUCCAAGAGAUACUGACAGGCUUGGGACCGGGAGAGGUGGGAGGUACUCCAGGGGUAGGGGUGAAAUCUCGUAAUCCUUGGGGGACCACCGAUGGCGAAGGCAUCCCACCAGAACGGGUCCGACGGUGAGGGACGAAAGCUGGGGGCACGAACCGGAUUAGAUACCCGGGUAGUCCCAGCUGUAAACGAUGCUCGCUAGGUGUCAGGUGCGGUGCGACCGCAUCUGGUGCCGCAGUGAAAACUUGAAGCGAGUCACCUGGGAAGUACGGUCGCAAGGCUGAAACUUAAAGGAAUUGGCGGGGGAGCAC